rnacentral:rRNA from 1 species
UACGUAGGUGUCGAGCGUUGUCCGGAAUUAUUGGGCGUAAAGAGCUCGUAGGCGGUUUGUCGCGUCUGCUGUGAAAACUCAGGGCUUAACCCUGAGCCUGCAGUGGGUACGGGCAGACUAGAGUGUGGUAGGGGAGAUCGGAAUUCCUGGUGUAGCGGUGGAAUGCGCAGAUAUCAGGAGGAACACCGGUGGCGAAGGCGGAUCUCUGGGCCAUAACUGACGCUGAGGAGCGAAAGCAUGGGGAGCGAACAGG